GACGAACGCUGGCGGCGUGCCUAAUACAUGCAAGUUGAGCGCUGAAGGUUGGUACUUGUACCAACUGGAUGAGCAGCGAACGGGUGAGUAACGCGUGGGGAAUCUGCCUUUGAGCGGGGGACAACAUUUGGAAACGAAUGCUAAUACCGCAUAAAAACUUUAAACACAAGUUUUAAGUUUGAAAGAUGCAAUUGCAUCACUCAAAGAUGAUCCCGCGUUGUAUUAGCUAGUUGGUGAGGUAAAGGCUCACCAAGGCGAUGAUACAUAGCCGACCUGAGAGGGUGAUCGGCCACAUUGGGACUGAGACACGGCCCAAACUCCUACGGGAGGCAGCAGUAGGGAAGCUUCGGCAAUGGACGAAAGUCUGACCGAGCAACGCCGCGUGAGUGAAGAAUGUUUUCGGAUCGUAAAACUCUGUUGGUAGAGAAGAACGUUGGUGAGAGUGGAAAGCUCAUCAAGUGACGGUAACUACCCAGAAAGGGACGGCUAACUACGUG
rnacentral:rRNA from 1 species